UACGUAGGGGGCAAGCGUUGUCCGGAUUCAUUGGGCGUAAAGAGCGUGUAGGCGGCCAGGUAGGUCGGUUGUGAAAACUGGAGGCUCAACCUUCAGAGGUCGACCGAAACCAUCUGGCUAGAGUCCGGGAGAGGAGAGUGGAAUUCCUGGUGUAGCGGUGAAAUGCGCAGAUAUCAGGAGGAACACCAAUGGCGAAGGCAGAUCUCUGGGCCGUAACUGACGCUGAGGAGCGAAAGCAUGGGGAGCGAACAGG
rnacentral:rRNA from 1 species